AGAGUUUGAUCAUGGCUCAGGACGAACGCUGGCGGCGUGCUUAACACAUGCAAGUGGAGCGACGAACCGGGCUUCGGCCCGGGGCAAAGCCGCGAACGGGUGAGUAACACGUGGGUAACCUGCCCCGAUGACCGGGACAACCCGGGGAAACCCGGGCUAAUACCGGAUGUGCUCCGCUCGCCCCAGGCGAGCGGUGGAAAGGGAGCUUCGGCCUCCGCAUCGGGAUGGGCCCGCGGCCCAUUAGCUUGUUGGUGAGGUAACGGCUCACCAAGGCAACGAUGGGUAGCUGGUCUGAGAGGACGAUCAGCCACACUGGGACUGAGACACGGCCCAGACUCCUACGGGAGGCAGCAGUGGGGAAUCUUGCGCAAUGCGCGAAAGCGUGACGCAGCAACGCCGCGUGGGGGAAGAAGGCCUUCGGGUUGUAAACCCCUUUCAGGAGGGACGAAGCCCGGGCGGUGAACAGCCGACUCGGGUGACGGUACCUCCAGAAGAAGCCCCGGCUAACUACGUGCCAGCAGCCGCGGUAAUACGUAGGGGGCAAGCGUUGUCCGGAAUCAUUGGGCGUAAAGCGCGUGUAGGCGGUCCGGUAAGUCGGCUGUGAAAGUCCAGGGCUCAACCCUGGGAUGCCGGUCGAUACUGCCGGACUAGAGUCCGGAAGAGGCGAGUGGAAUUCCCGGUGUAGCGGUGAAAUGCGCAGAUAUCGGGAGGAACACCAAUGGCGAAGGCAGCUCGCUGGGACGGUACUGACGCUGAGACGCGAAAGCGUGGGGAGCAAACAGGAUUAGAUACCCCCGUAGUCC
rnacentral:rRNA from 1 species